rnacentral:lncRNA from 1 species
GACUUUUUAAAAUCAUAGUCGCACACCUCAUGUAGCCUAGCCCAUAGGUUGAUAUGUUUUGAUAAGGUUAGUAUCACACCUCAUGUAGCCUAGCCCAUAGGUUGAUAUGUUUUGAUAAGGUUAGUAUCACACCUCAUGUAGCCUAGCCCAUAGGUUGAUAUGUUUUGAUAAGGUUAGUAUCACAACGGUGUAGAGUCUAAAUGGCAUACAUACACAGUGUGUGAGUUUCAAGUUUGGGGAAGAUCAUUUUCACCUUAAAAAUUCACCUUAAUAAUAAAAAGCAUUACAUGCAUAAUUACAAUUGCGAUCACUUUUGAGAAUGGUGUUUUCCUGCCAAUUGAUUGCAUUUUGGAACGUUUGCGCUUAUAACCUAUUGCCGUGUGCGCAUUGCCUCGUUUAUAAUGUGAAGAAAUAGCCUAAUAGUUUAUCAACAUUUUAAGCUAAAUGUUCUGAUCUGUUGCGUCAACCUCAUGGCUUAAAACAGUUUUGUUGUUGCUCGUGGUUGUAUUAAUUAGGGAUCUAACACAUCCCACAACUUGUCCCAGGCUAUGUUUAGAAUAUGUAUUUCUCACACAGAAUAGAAUAGGUCAACAGUUUUACCAUGGGGAUAGUAGAUUGACAUAGGCAGCCUAAUAACAAAACAGAGCUCAUGCCUUUCAUCAAAUCAUCGUUUAAAGUCCCAUCACGCGACCUUAGAAUGUAUUAAAAAGAUUGAAACAUACAGCCCAACAUCUGUAUCACAACUAAAGUUGCAUAAAUAACUCUAAAUAAAGCAUAUAGGAGAAUCCCUCAAAUCCUUUGGAGAAAUGAUCCUUUCUAUUUUAUUCAGCUGUGUUCAAUUCUGUUCUUCAUACUAUAAAACAAUUUAAAAUACCACCACGGAAUUGUAGGCUAAAAUGUGUCUGCUAAAUGAACUAGUGUAGUCCAUAGCCAGAUCAGGGCCUAACAUGAUAACUCAGAGUAUGCUAUUCUGUUCUUCUGAAAUAAACUACGUUUUCUUCAUAUCAUGUUUCUUUAGACCUGUUUAAAAUAAAUCAUGGAUUUAUUGUGAAGGUAUAGACUAUAUUACAUGGAUUUAUUGUGAAGGUGUAGACUAUAUUACAUGGAUUUAUUGUGAUGGUGUAGGUAGACUAUAUUACAUGGAUUUAUUGUGAUGGUAUAGACUAUAUUACAUGGAUUUAUUGUGAUGGUGUAGACUAUAUUACAUGGAUUUAUUGUGAUGGUGUAGACUAUAUUACAUGGAUUUAUUGUGAAGGUGUAGACUAUAUUACAUGUAUUUAUUGUGAUGGUGUAGACUAUAUUACAUGGAUGUAUUGUGAUGGUGUAGACUAUAUUACAUGGAUUUAUAGUGAUGGUGUAGACUAUAUUACAUGGAUUUAUUGUGAUGGUGUAGACUAUAUUACAUGGAUUUAUUGUGAUGGUGUAGACUAUAUUACAUGGAUUUAUUUUGAUGGUGUAGACUAUAUUACAUGGAUGUAUUGUGAUGGUAUAGACUAUAUUACAUGGAUUUAUUGUGAUGGUAUAGACUAUAUUACAUGGAUUUAUUGUGAUGGUGUAGACUAUAUUACAUGGAUUUAUUGUGAUGGUGUAGACUAUAUUACAUGGAUUUAUUGUGAUGGUGUAGACUAUAUUACAUGGAUUUAUUGUGAUGGUGUAGGUAGACUAUAUUACAUGGAUUUAUUGUGAUGGUGUAGGUAGACUAUAUUACAUGGAUUUAUUGUGAUGGUGUAGACUAUAUUACAUGGAUUUAUUGUGAUGGUGUAGGUAGACUAUAUUACAUGGAUUUAUUGUGAUGGUGUAGACUAUAUUACAUGGAUUUAUUAGAUUUUUUAAAAUGUAGAUGUUCUGAAGGUCUGCAUCAGUGGUUUGUAGGCUACGUGUGGAAGCCAGGAGAAGCUAAAUGUGUUUAUGUUCAUUAACGGUCGAUUACUGUGAGAACGGUGGUUAUUUGCUUGACAUCACCGGCAGACUAAACGUCAUGGCCGCCACAGCCCCGCUCCAGGAAUUUGCUAAAUUCAAUUCACCUUGUCUCCCAUGUACAGUACAUGUUCAGAAGACAAGGGGUAGAUGAAACGUAAUGGAUUCUAAUCCAGAUGGCCUUAACUGGGUUCAAACUCUAUUGUUGCCCCGUGUUUCUGGAUGACACCAGUUAAACACAGCACAUUUCAUUCAACCACUUUGUCUUUAGAGAGAGACGGAGCAGGGGGGGGAUGUUGGGGUGACAAUGGGCUGUCCGACACUCACAACGGAGAGCGUGUCAGCCAGGAUAUCUUUCUGCCUGAGCUCCUUUCUGAGUUUAACUGCAUUGGAUUUUUGUUUGGCGGCGGAGUGUAUAUCAAGCCACCCCCCUUUGUGCGGCCACCGGUAAUGGUAAUGAAAGCAUGGCUAAAAUAUCUAAGUGGUCGUACUUCGUUAAGGAAGCGGCGGGAGCGGUGGUGGGAGCGGUGAAGGGGAGGGGCUGUAGGAGGCUGUAGGAUCGUGCUUGGGGUGAGAAUCAGUCUGCAUAAGGUAAGCGCAGAGAGGGAGAGAGGGAGAGGGGAUAGAAAGAGAGAGGGAGGGAGAGAGAGGGGAGAGGGAAGGAGAGAGGGAGAUAGAGAGAAUGGGCCUGCUGCAGAGAGGGAGAGAGAGAGGGGGGAUAGAAAGAGAGAGGGAGGGAGAGAGAGAGGGAGAGGGAAGGAGAGAGGGAGAUAGAGAGAAUGGGCCUGCUGCAGUUUGGCAGCCAGUUGUAAUGCAUCUCUAUGACAUCAUUCUCUGACAAAGUGUGAGGACGUCAUCAAAUUAAAGGCAUUUGUUUUAUGUAGAGUUACAGAUGUCUGAUGCUAUAUUGAAAUUCCAGUACUCCUUCACCUCCACAUUCACUGGUUCUAGCUAAAUUGGAAAAAAAAUGAUAUCACUGUCUGUCUGUCUUGUCUUGUCUGUCUGUCUGUCUGUCUGUCUGUCUGUCUGUCUGUCUGUCUGUCUGUCUGUCUGUCUGUCUGUCUGUCUGUCUGUCUGUCUGUCUGUCUGUCUGUCUGUCUGUCUGUCUGUCUGUCUGUCUGUCUGUCUGUCUGUCUGUCUGUCUGUCUGUCUGUCUGUCUGUCUGUGUCUUUCUCCCUUUGUGCUGGUGAGUUAAGAGCAUGACCCGGGUACUGUUAUCCUCAUUACGAGUUGAGUGGAUGCAUUACUUCCCUCUGCUCUGUUGUGUCCCUCUGCUCUGCUGUGUCCCUCUGCUCUGCUGUGUCCCUCUGCUCUGCUGUGUCCCUCUGCUCUGCUGUGUCCAUCUUCCCUGCUGUGUCCCUCUGCUCUGCUGUGUCCAUCUUCCCUGCUGUGUCCCUCUGCUCUGCUGUGUCCCUCUGCUCUGCUGUGUCCCUCUGCUCUGUUGUGUCCAUCUUCCCUGCUGUGUCCCUCUGCUCUGCUGUGUCCAUCUUCCCUGCUGUGUCCCUCUGCUCUGCUGUGUCCAUCUUCCCUGCUGUGUCCCUCUGCUCUGCUGUGUCCAUCUUCCCUGCUGUGUCCCUCUGCUCUGCUGUGUCCAUUUUCCCUGCUGUGUCUGAGCGUGAGUGGCAGGAGGAAAAUCAAUCCCAGAUGCAGGCCCAGUCUCAGUCCCCGAGCUGGACCCAAUACCAGUCCCAGUCCCAGUCCCAGUCCCAAUACCAGUCCCAAUACCAGUCCCAGUCCCAGUCCCAGACCCAGUCCCAGUCCCAGUCCCAGUCCCAGUCCCAGACCCAGUCCCAGUCCCAAUACCAGUCCCAGUCCCAGUCCCAGUCCCAGUCCCAAUACCAGUCCCAGUCCCAGACCCAGUCCCAGUCCCAGUCCCAGUCCCAGUCCCAGUCCCAGUCCCAAUACCAGUCCCAGUCCCAGUCCCAAUACCAGUCCCAGACCCAGUCCCAGUCCCAGUCCCAGUCCCAGUCCCAGUCCCAAUACCAGUCCCAGUCCCAGUCCCAGACCCAGUCCCAGUCCCAGUCCCAGUCCCAGUCCCAGUCCCAGUCCCAGUCCCAAUACCAGUCCCAGUCCCAGUCCCAGACCGGGCUAUAGUCACGGCCUAAGAGCAGCGGUGACGGCGCGGCCCAAGACAUGUCUUUAACAGCACUGACCUAUUUCCACCUAAAGAACUUUCCUGCAAGACAGUCCCGGUUUAAACCCGCCAUGCUGCAGAGGAGAAGCUCAGCAAUCUCAUCCAAGACUGUCAAGCCCAACAAGACAAAUUACGUUUCAACUGUAAACUGCUAUUAAGCAAGACUACACUGACCCAGAAAGUCAAAAAAUGUACCGCCCAACUCAGGAGAAGAGAAAUAAUCAAACCCAAUUUAAAUCUUGCGGCUCUAUGCAAAGACACACAAAGAUAGAGAGGGAAGAUGGGAGGGCAAGGAAGGAAACAAUUAAAUAUAUAAUCUUAAUUGCUAUUGAUUAUAGUUGGCUUUAGAUUCAAAUGUUAAGAAAUAAUACCGCUUUGAUUAUUAAAACAUGCUGAAGUAAAAUCAGGACUGAGGAAAUAACCACAGAGUAUCCCUUUAAUUAUGAUGUCAUAGAUACCAUCAGGAUUUAUUUAUUGAACCUUUAUUUAACUAGGCAAGUCAGUUAAGAACAAAUUCUUAUUUACAAUGACAGCCUACCCCAGCCACACCCGGACGAUGUUGAGCCAAUUGUGCGCCGCCCUAUGGGACUACCAAUCACAGCCAGGUGUGACUCAGCCUGGAUUUGAACCAGGGACUGUAGUGGACAGUAGUGUUCUCUCUUGCCCUGAGAUGCAGUGUCUUGGGCCACUGCACCACUCAGGGGCCAGAGGAUAGGGCACUGCUUCUCAACAAACAAUGUAGGAAUAAUAGAUUAUGGAAAUUGUCUUUUUUUUUUUAACUGGACCUAUUGAGUGUAAACUAGGGGCCACCCAUACUUAAAAUGAAUGCACGCGUGAAUAAGUCACUUUGGAUAACAGCAUCUGUAUUAAACUCUAGCACAGACGCAAGGUCAGUCAGGUUUACUGUCAGUCAGUUUUUAUCUUUGUAAGAGAAAAGAAGCUGUCUGGGCCGAGAGGACAAAGGGACCUGUUACAAUAGUGUCUGUCUCCUUCUCUGAUCAACCAAUCAGAGUCAGUCAGGGCCUGGAUCCGUGCUGCUUUGCACAUGUCCCAAUGCAGGGGAAAGUAGCCAGCACACUACUGUACUGCACUCCCCUGACACCAGAGGGCCUCAGCUGGGGAGGCCACCAAACUGCCAACCCUAGGCAUCACCGGUCAGGUAGGCCUCUGCCCUUGCUCUCUGAACAGGGAACUGUGACCACCUAUAGUCCUUCCAACUGUCCCUGUCCUCCAGUGUAGUGCAGUUCACUCAAUCACACACAAACACAACAUAUCCCCAAAUCAAAAGGUUAAGUAGAUCGUUAGCGAGAAAGCAUGAGCAGAUGUCAAACUUUCAUUACUGGGCAGUAAAUUAGCCUCAUUAAGCAGAGGACUGACUGACAUCUUCCCCAGAACCUGCUGUCAAGGGUCUUCCAUUAACAAUGACUGGGCCACUGCACAGUAUAGUGUAAACAGUGGCUUUACACAGAGACUGAGACACCAACAAAAAUACAGUUAGUGGCGUGUCCCACAGUCUCUACCUCUACGGUAGUGAACUUACUCACACAUUUUUCUGUGCCAUGAAUGGAUGACGGUCAGGAUUUUACAUGAGUGAUUUUCUCUGUCACAUCUAGGUAUUGAGUCUUGUACUGCUGAAUAUGUCUCUGUUGAAUGUGUCACUUGGGUUUAGCUGGUCCAGACAGAGACAGGCCGGCAGCCACGGCAGCCCCGGGGCAGGGUGUAAGAGCAGCACGGGGCCUUGCACAAUGUGGACGUGACAAGAAGUGAUGUGUUUUGAUGGUCCCUGGUCUUUGGGCCCACUAGCCCUUCAGACCAGAGGGGAGGUAGGGAUGUAGUGUGUCAGACAGACAGCUGUCUGAGAGCCAAUCAGAGGGCACUUGUCCAGAUAAGGAGAGAGAGAGAGAGAGAGAGAGAGAGAGAGAGAGAUAUUAUCAUAUUGAAGCAAAGUGACAGGGGUCACAGUGGGACAGGGGCCACAGUGGGACAGGGGCCACAGUGGGACAGGGGUCACAGUGGGACAGGGGUCACAGUGGGACAGGGGCCACAGUGGGACAGGGGCCACAGUGGGACAGGAAUCACAGUGGGACAGGGGUCACAGUGGGACAGGAGUCACAGUGUAUGUCCCUCUUUAGGGCUAUACAUUAGUGUUUCAUCAGCAGCUGCCCCCUACACCACCUGUACACACUUCCCUCCUAGUGUGCAUCUCUCCUGACCUCCCUACCCCUCCCUCCAGGGUCCAGCUGUCCCAAACCCUGAUCCCUCCCUCCUUCUCUCCAUCCCAUCUCCAAUAUAAGGGCAGGAAUGCAGGUCCCAGAAUAGACACAAGCAUCCAGUGAGAGAGGCCGUCAUUGUAAAUAAGAAUUUGUUCUUAACUGACUUGCCUAGUUAAAUAAAGGCUCAAAUAAAAAAACAUGUAAAACAAAUCUAAAACCAGCUGAUAGAGGGCAGACACCCCCCCAGUCCUUAAAACCAGCCAGACUGAUAGAGGGCAGACACACCCCCCCAGUCCUUAAAACCAGCCAGACUGAUAGAGGGCAGACACACCCCCCCAGUCCUUAAAACCAGCCAGACUGAUAGAGGGCAGACACACCCCCCCAGUCCUUAAAACCAGCCAGACUGAUAGAGGGCAGACACCCCC